GAUGAACGCUGGCGGCGUGCCUAAUACAUGCAAGUCGAGCGAACGGACGAGAAGCUUGCUUCUCUGAUGUUAGCGGCGGACGGGUGAGUAACACGUGGAUAACCUACCUAUAAGACUGGGAUAACUUCGGGAAACCGGAGCUAAUACCGGAUAAUAUUUUGAACCGCAUGGUUCAAAAGUGAAAGACGGUCUUGCUGUCACUUAUAGAUGGAUCCGCGCUGCAUUAGCUAGUUGGUAAGGUAACGGCUUACCAAGGCAACGAUGCAUAGCCGACCCGAGAGGGUGAUCGGACACACUGGAACUGAGACACGGUCCAGACUCCUACGGGAGGCAGCAGUAGGGAAUCUUCCGCAAUGGGCGAAAGCCUGACGGAGCAACGCCGCGUGAGUGAUGAAGGUCUUCGGAUCGUAAAACUCUGUUAUUAGGGAAGAACAUAUGUGUAAGUAACUGUGCACAUCUUGACGGUACCUAAUCAGAAAGCCACGGCUAACUACGUG
rnacentral:rRNA from 1 species